rnacentral:rRNA from 1 species
GCAACUCGACUCCAUGAAGCUGGAAUCGCCUAGUAAUCGCGGAUCAGCACGCCGCGGUGAAUACGUUCCCGGGCCUUGUACACACCGCCCGUCACACCAUGGAAGUCUGCAAUGCCCGAAGCCGGUGGCCUAACCACUUAUGUGGAAGGAGCCGUCUAAGGCAGGGCAGAUGACUGGGGUGAAGUCGUAACAAGGUACC